ACAACCCUAAAGAUAAAAAUUUCACAUUUUCUCACUUUCAUCAAUUCUCUCUCGACGACGAUUCGCAACGACCGGCAAUUCUCUAUCCUCUUUAGCGAUAACGAGAUGCUGCUUCUUUCAAGCAACAGCGAGACACUUUCUCGACCUUUUCAGGCGACGACGAAGACGACGACGAGAUGAUUCUUCUUCCAAGUGACGGUGAUACAAUGCUUCCGGCCACCUUUCGUCGCUCUUUCCCACUCUUUAUAACCAUCUUUUUAUUUGUGAAACAGAGUGACCAUUUACUUAAUCAUCGUUGCUCUGGUUUUGAUGUUCAGAGGAUGGAGAAGAAGGUGGCGGCUGUGACAAUGAUAUUUAGGUUUGAUAAGUUGCUUUUGUGAAAGAGAGUGGCUACUAUAUAUAAUCAUCUUUGCUAUGGUUUUGAUGCUUAGAGGUUGGAAAAGAAGGUGGCGGCAGUGACAAUGGUGUAAACCCCAAUCUUUGUUAUGGAAACACACAUAUGAGAGCGUAACAAAUACUUAUGGAAAUGUAAUUCAAGUCAACAAAGCACAAGACUGUGUGAAGAAGAUUGAAGAGCUCAGACUUAUUAACGUUGCCGGCUAAUGAUCACAUACUUAUUUUCCAAUUAUGUUAUUGCAGACUUACUUUUUGGAUUAUGUCUCACAGACUUAUUUUUAUGUUACUACAGAAAUAUUUAUAUUACUGCAGACUUGUUUUUCUA